AGAGUUUGAUCAUGGCUCAGGACGAACGCUGGCGGCGUGCUUAACACAUGCAAGUCAAGGGGGCCCAGCAAUGGGCAACCGGCGAACGGGUGCGUAACACGUGAGCAACCUACCGAACUGUGGGGGAUAGCCGGCCUAACGGCCGAGUAAUACCGCAUACGCUCUCAGAGAGGCAUUUCAUUGAGAGGAAACCUACGGGACAGAUCGAGGGGCUCGCGGCCUAUCAGCUAGUUGGCGAGGUAACGGCUCACCAAGGCAACGACGGGUAGCUGGUCUGAGAGGAUGGCCAGCCACAUUGGGACUGAGAUACGGCCCAGACUCCUACGGGAGGCAGCAGUGGGGAAUCUUGCGCAAUGGCCUAACGGCUGACGCAGCGACGCCGCGUGUGGGAUGAAGCUCCUCGGAGUGUAAACCACUGUUGCCCGGGACGAACAGCUCGAUUAGUCGAGCCUGACGGUACCGGGUGAGGAAGCACCGGCUAACUCCGUGCCAGCAGCCGCGGUAAUACGGGGGGUGCGAGCGUUGUCCGGAAUCACUGGGCGUAAAGGGCGCGUAGGCGGUUUGAUAAGGGUGUGGUGAAAGUCCGGGGCUCAACCCCGGAUCUGCCGUGCCGACUGUCAAACUCGAGGACUGUAGAGGCAGACGGAAUUCCGGGUGUAGCGGUGGAAUGCGUAGAGAUCCGGAGGAAGACCGGUGGCGAAGGCGGUCUGCUGGGCAGUUUCUGACACUGAGGCGCGACAGCGUGGGGAGCAAACAGGAUUAGAUACCCUGGUAGUCCACGCCGUAAACGAUGGGUACUAGGUGCCUGGGGGAGCGACCCUCUGGGUGCCGGCGCUAACGCAGGAAGUACCCCGCCUGGGGAGUACGACCGCAAGGUUGAAACUUAAAGGAAUUGACGG
rnacentral:rRNA from 1 species